GCCAGCAUGGUGUAGUGGUUUCAGUGAUGGACUAAGAUUCUGAAGACCAGGGUUCGAAUCCUGGCUUGGCC